rnacentral:rRNA from 1 species
AGAGUUUGAUCCUGGCUCAGGAUGAGCGCUGGCGGCGUGCUUAACACAUGCAAGUCGAACGAGAACUAAUUUUCAAUUUUCAAAAAAUUGCAAAUUGGUUCUAGUGGCGGACGGGUGAGUAACGCGUUGGUACCUGCCCCAAACACGGGAAUAACCAGCCGAAAGGUUGGCUAAUACCCGAUGGUCCCGCAAGGGUAAAGCUCCGGCGGUUUGGGAAGGGCCUGCGUCCGAUUAGCUAGUUGGUAAGGUAAUGGCUUACCAAGGCAACGAUCGGUAAUUGGUCUGAGAGGAUGACCAGUCACACUGGAACUGAGACACGGUCCAGACUCCUACGGGAGGCAGCAGUGAGGAAUAUUCGGCAAUGGGGGAAACCCUGACCGAGCGACGCCGCGUGCAGGAUGACGGCCUUCGGGUUGUAAACUGCUUUUAUUUGGGAAGAUUAUGACGGUACCAAAUGAAUAAGGGCCGGCUAACUACGUGCCAGCAGCCGCGGUAAUACGUAGGGCCCAAGCGCUAUCCGGAAUCACUGGGCGUAAAGCGUGUGUAGGUGGCGAUCUAAGUGAGGUGCGAAAUCCGAUGGCUCAACCAACGGACUGUAUUUCAAACUGGAUUGCUAGAGGUUGUCAGAGGUUAGUGGAAUUGGCGGUGUAGGAGUGAAAUCCGUAGAUAUCGCCAGGAACACCAAUGGCGAAGGCAGCUAACUGGGACAUACCUGACACUGAGACACGAAAGCGUGGGGAGCGAACGGGAUUAGAUACCCCAGUAGUCC